rnacentral:rRNA from 1 species
GACGAACGCUGGCGGCGUGCUUAACACAUGCAAGUCGAACGGACAGGCCCUGCUUUUGUGGGGUGCUCGAGUGGCGAACGGGUGCGUAACACGUGAGUAACCUGCCCUUGACUUUGGGAUAACUUCAGGAAACGGGGGCUACUACCGGAUCGGAGCUCCAGCUGCAUGGAGGGGGUUGGAAAGUUUCGGCGGGUGGGGAUGGUCUCGCGGGUUAUCAGCUUGUUGGUGGGGUAGUGACUUACCAAGGCUUUGACGGGUAGCCGGCCUGAGAGGGUGAACAGCGACAUUGGGACUGAGGGACGGCGCAGACUGCUACGGGAGGCAGCAGUGGGAAGUAUGGCGGAACGGGCGGAAGCCUGAUACAGCAACGUCGCGUGCGGGAAGACGGCCUGCGGGUGAUGAACCGCUUUCGCCUGUGACGAAGCGUGAGUGACGGUAAUGAGUAAAGAAGCACCGGCUAACUACGUG